CGGAUGCGAUCAUUCCAGCACUAAAGCACUGGAUCCCAUCAGAACUCCGAAGUUAAGCGUGCUUGGGCGAGAGUAGUACUAGGAUGGGUGACCUCCUGGGAAGUCCUUGUGUUGCAUCCCUC
rnacentral:rRNA from 1 species